rnacentral:rRNA from 1 species
CCUACGGGAGGCAGCAGUGGGGAAUAUUGCACAAUGGGGGAAACCCUGAUGCAGCGACGCCGCGUGAGUGAAGAAGUAAUUCGUUAUGUAAAGCUCUAUCAGCAGGGAAGAAAAUGACGGUACCUGAGUAAGAAGCCCCGGCUAACUACGUGCCAGCAGCCGCGGUAAUACGUAGGGGGCAAGCGUUAUCCGGAUUUACUGGGUGUAAAGGGAGCGUAGACGGCAGUGCAAGUCUGGAGUGAAAGGCGGGGGCUCAACCCCCGGACUGCUCUGGCAACGGUACGGCUGGAGUGCAGGAGAGGUAAGUGGAAUUCCUGGUGUAGCGGUGAAAUGCGUAGAUAUUAGGAGGAACACCAGUGGCGAAGGCGGCUUGCUGGACUGUAACUGACGUUGAGGCUCGAAAGCGUGGGGAGCAAACAGGAUUAGAUACCCGAGUAGUC